ACAGAGGUGGCAAGCGUUGUUCGGAAUUACUGGGCGUAAAGGGCGCGUAGGCGGCCUUGUAAGUCCCGUGUGAAAUCCCCUGGCUCAACUAGGGAAUUGCACGGGAGACUGCUUGGCUUGAGUUCGGGAGAGGGAAGCGGAAUUCCGGGUGUAGCGGUGAAAUGCGUAGAUAUCCGGAGGAACACCGGUGGCGAAGGCGGCUUCCUGGACCGACACUGACGCUGAGGCGCGAAAGCUAGGGGAGCAAACGGGAUUAGAUACCCCGGUAGUCCUAGCUGUAAACGAUGAGUGCUGGGUGUGGGGGGUAUUAACCCCCCCUGUGCCGAAGCUAACGCAUUAAGCACUCCGCCUGGGGAGUACGGUCGCAAGGCUG
rnacentral:rRNA from 1 species